AUUGAACGCUGGCGGCAGGCCUAACACAUGCAAGUCGAGCGGAUGAAGGGAGCUUGCUCCUGGAUUCAGCGGCGGACGGGUGAGUAAUGCCUAGGAAUCUGCCUGGUAGUGGGGGAUAACGUCCGGAAACGGGCGCUGAUACCGCAUACAUCCUGAGGGAGAAAGUGGGGGAUCUUCGGACCUCACGCUAUCAGAUGAGCCUAGGUCGGAUUAGCUAGUUGGUGGGGUAAAGGCCUACCAAGGCGACGAUCCGUAACUGGUCUGAGAGGAUGAUCAGUCACACUGGAACUGAGACACGGUCCAGACUCCUACGGGAGGCAGCAGUGGGGAAUAUUGGACAAUGGGCGAAAGCCUGAUCCAGCCAUGCCGCGUGUGUGAAGAAGGUCUUCGGAUUGUAAAGCACUUUAAGUUGGGAGGAAGGGCAGUAAGUUAACACCUUGCUGUUUUGACGUUACCAACAGAAUAAGCACCGGCUAACUUCGUG
rnacentral:rRNA from 1 species